UACGUAGGGUGCGAGCGUUAAUCGGAAUUACUGGGCGUAAAGCGUGCGCAGGCGGUUUGCUAAGACCGAUGUGAAAUCCCCGGGCUUAACCUGGGAACUGCAUUGGUGACUGGCAGGCUAGAGUAUGGCAGAGGGGGGUAGAAUUCCACGUGUAGCAGUGAAAUGCGUAGAGAUGUGGAGGAAGACCGAUGGCGAAGGCAGCCCCCUGGGCAAAUACUGACGCUCAUGCACGAAGGCGUGGGGAGCAAACAGG
rnacentral:rRNA from 1 species